AUGGUAGGAUAGAGGCCUACCAUGGUGGUAACGGGUAACGGGGUGUUAGGGCACGACACCGGAGAGGGAGCCUGAGAAACGGCUACCACAUCCAAGGAAGGCAGCAGGCGCGCAAAUUACCCAAUCCCGACACGGGGAGGUAGUGACAAUAAAUAACAAUACAGGGUUCUUUGAAUCUUGUAAUUGGAAUGAGUACAAUUUAAAUCUCUUAACGAGGAACAAUUGGAGGGCAAGUCUGGUGCCAGCAGCCGCGGUAAUUCCAGCUCCAAUAGCGUAUAUUAAGGUUGUUGCAGUUAAAAAGCUCGUAGUUGAAUUUCGGGAUCAAUACGUCGGUCGUGCUUUCGGGUACGUACUGGCGUCAUUGGUUUCUCCUUUCUGACGAACCAUGAUGUCAUUAAUUUGGUGUUAUGGGGAGUUAGGACUGUUACUUUGAAAAAAUUAGAGUGUUUAAAGCAGGCAUUAGCUUGAAUACAUUAGCAUGGAAUAAUGAAAUAGGACGUUCGAUCCUAUUUUGUUGGUUUCUAGGAUCAACGUAAUGAUUAAUAGGGAUAGUUGGGGGCAUUAGUAUUCAAUUGUCAGAGGUGAAAUUCUUGGAUUUAUUGAAGACUAACUACUGCGAAAGCAUUUGCCAAGGAUGUUUUCAUUAAUCAAGAACGAAAGUUAGGGGAUCGAAGACGAUCAGAUACCGUCGUAGUCUUAACCAUAAACUAUGCCGACUAGGGAUCGGAUGAUGUUAAUUUUUUAAUGACUCAUUCGGCGCCUUACGGGAAACCAAAGUGUU
rnacentral:rRNA from 1 species